UAUAAUCCCGCCCGCUCAGGUGCCCAUAGCAAAAGCAAUGGGAUAAUCGGGAAGUGAGUGAAACUCUCACGCUGCCCCCGCAACGGUAAUCACGCAGACCACUGGUCAGCGAUUCCCUCAUGCCACCGAUAUUCGGGAAGGCGGGAAUACAUGCACGUCAUGAUGAAAGCCCGGAGACCGGCCUGCGCCGCGACACCAGU
rnacentral:ncRNA from 2 species